rnacentral:tRNA from 1 species
GCGCCACUAGCUCAAUUGGAUAGAGCAUCUGACUACGGAUCAGAAGGUUGCAGGUUCGACUCCUGCGUGGCGCGCCA